UGAAAACGUCAGUGUCAUAAUUGCUCAUUUUUUUCUGGAGGAUUGAGGUCAAUCGUUCAAAACCCAUCCCUGUAUCGACAUGCCUUGCAGGUAAAGGCUUUAGACUUUUAUCAGCUUCCCUAUUGAACUGAAUAAACACAAGGUUCCAGAUCUCAAUGCAGGUGGGAUCAUCAUUAUUGACCAAAGAUUUAGCAUCUCGGUUACCAAUGCGGUCAAAAUGGAUUUCUGUACAAGGCCCACAUGGUCCAGUAUCACCCAUCUCCCAGAAGUUGUCCUUGCAACCAAAAGGAAGCACUCGCUCAGCUGGUAAAAAGUUCAGCCAUAUAUCUCUCGCUUCGUUGUCAGCUGCAAGUCCAGACUCCUCAUCACCGCCAAAAUAAG
rnacentral:misc_RNA from 1 species